UACGUAGGUGACAAGCGUUGUCCGGAUUUACUGGGCGUAAAGAGCGCGCAGGCGGUCGUUCAAGUCGAGUGUGAAAGCCCCCGGCUCAACUGGGGAGGGUCACUCGAUACUGAUCGACUCGAAGGCAGGAGAGGGUAGUGGAAUUCCCGGUGUAGUGGUGAAAUGCGUAGAUAUUCGCAAGAACACCAGUGGCGAAGGCGGCUCACUGGCCCGGUACUGACGCUGAGGUGCGAAAGCGUGGGGAGCAAACAGG
rnacentral:rRNA from 1 species